rnacentral:lncRNA from 1 species
GGGGCUGUGCAGGCCUUGCUUUACUUGCUGAGAGAUGCGGUCUCAUAAACACUCCCAGACCUUUGGUCACAGGGCUGCAGGAUUACAUUUCCAUCAUGCACAGGGAUCAGGGAUCGUGCGUGUGCCUGGAUGAAGAGUGUGCGCUUCUCACUAUGCUUUUUUGGGAGAUGCAGUCUCAUUAACACUCCUAGCCCUUUGGUCAUAGAGCGCCAGGACUGCAAUCCCAGCAUGCACCCAGCUCAGGGACAGUGCGCUAGUCACUGCAGGAAGAGGCAGGGCUGUGUGCAACUCCUGGGAGUACUGGGAGAUGUAUUCUCAUAAACACUCCCAGCCCUUUGGUCGCAGAGCUUCAGGACUACAAUCUUAGCAUGCACCUGUCUCAGGGACAAUGAGUGUCACUGGAGGAAGAGGUGGGGCUGUGUGCGCCUCCCUAGGAUUGCUGGGAGACGUAUUCUCAUAAACACUCCCAGCCUUUUGGUCAAAGGGCUACAGGACUACAAUCCCAGCAUGCGCCAGUCUCCGGGCCCACCAAAUAUGCUGGGAGCUGUAGUCCGUUAAGUGCUCUCAGCCUAUUCAUCGGUAGGCUUUAGAACUAUAAUCCCAGCAUGUGGGAUCCGGGGUGCGUAGCCCUAGAGGGAGGGACAGAGCGGUGUGGACUUCCCAGUGUCGAAAGCAUUGCUGAGUUCUUAUGCUAUGCCGACUCUUUUCCACUGAGAACAAAUGUCACCAUAAGAUGGAGCCUCGGGAAUCCAGUGGAAACUAUUUCAGAAAACCUCAAUGGAUCACCGACAAGCAGCAGAGGGCCUCAAUAGACUUCAACAACGUCUGGACUCCACGGCCACUAUAGUCCGACAAAACUAAAGAACCUGGGAUCUUCUCCCAGCCAGGCAAAGAGGAACAUGUUUAUAUCUAAAAGAAGAAUGCUGUUUUUGAG